ensembl:rRNA Gm24845 predicted gene, 24845
AUAUGUGGCCAUAUCAUUCUGAAUGUGCCUGAUCUCUUCUGAUGUCAGAAACUGAGUAGCUCUGGGCUGGCUUAGCAUUUCGGGGGGGGGGGGGGGGGGAGAGGAACUUUCAUAGA